rnacentral:lncRNA from 1 species
AUGGGCGAUUUGGGCUGCGGGAUCUGCCCCCUCCUGCACCUUACACCUCACCUGGCUCAUCUCGCCGGCCGAGAACUGGAUGGCUUUGGUGCCCACGGGCUGGGGAACGGGUGGGAAGAGGAGGCGGCCAACCCUGGGGAGGGAGUGGUUGGUGAGGGGGUGGGUAAUGGUGGGGGUGGCCUGAGCGGCUCUGGGUGCUCCGUCACCUCUUUUUGGUCAGGUGGUAGAUGGCAGCUGCGGCGGGGAGACCCAGCGAGAUGCUCAGAAGGAGCUGAGCCUGCCGCGCCGAGGAAGAGCGUAAGUCCCCGAGCUGGGCCACCCUGGGCGUGGGGUGGGGUGUCACCGAGAGGGCCACACUUGGGGACACAGCGCUGGCACUGUGGGUGGCAGCAGGGAUGGCUGUUGAAUGGCACCAGGGCUUGUUGUCCACAGCGCUGGCACCGUGGGUGGCAGCAGGGAUGGCUGUUGAAUGGCACCAGGGCUUGCUGUCCUGAAAUCUGGAGUGGCAUCAUCAUGGUCUCCGGCACUGCGGGGACCUGACUGCUCAUCUCCUAGGGUGCACUGGGAUGUGCUGGGGUUAACUGGGGUGUACUGGGGUGUGGUGUGCUCUGCUGUAGGUGUGUUGGGGUGUUCUAAGCAGUACUGGGAUGUACUGGGGUGUGUUGGGGCGUUCUAAGGAUUGGAGUGUACUGGGGUGUACUGGGGUGUGUUGGGUUGCUCUAAGCAGUACUGGGGUGUAUUGGGGUGUGUUGGGGUGUUCUAAGCAGGAUUGGAGUGUACUGGGAUAUACUGGGGUGUAUUGGGGUGUGUUGGGGUGCUCUAAGCAGUACUGGGGUGUAUUGGAGUACCCCGGGGUGUGGUAGGAGGCAGCAAAGCUGCCCUGGGUGUUCGUGCUGGGCCGUGCUGGGAUGCAUGGCAGGAGCGCGGGGCCGGUGUUCGGGAUGCACUGCAGCCGUACCGGCACGGUUAGGGCUGUACCGGGGCUGUACCGGGGCUGUACCGGGGCCGUACCGGGGCCGUGCAGGAGGGCUGUGCCGGGGCUGUACCGGGGCUGUACCGGGGCCGUACCGGGGCCGUGCAGGGCUUGCGGUGUUUCAGCAGCAGCAGCGCCCCGGCACAUCCCGGGAGCGGCGCGGAUCGGGGCCGGG